CCUACGGGUGGCAGCAGUGAGGAAUAUUGGUCAAUGGGCGCGAGCCUGAACCAGCCAAGUAGCGUGAAGGAUGACUGCCCUACGGGUUGUAAACUUCUUUUGCCGGGGAGCAGUGGUCCGGACGUGUCCGGGCCGGGAGAGUACCCGGAGAAAAAGCAUCGGCUAACUCCGUGCCAGCAGCCGCGGUAAUACGGAGGAUGCGAGCGUUAUCCGGAUUUAUUGGGUUUAAAGGGUGCGUAGGCGGGCAUUUAAGCCGGCGGUCAAAUGUCGGGGCUCAACCCCGGCCUGCCGUCGGAACUGGGUGCCUUGAGUGGGCGAGAAGUAUGCGGAAUGCGUGGGGUAGCGGUGAAAUGCAUAGAUAUCACGCAGAACCCCGAUUGCGAAGGCAGCAUACCGGCGCCCUACUGACGCUGAGGCACGAAAGUGCGGGUAUCGAACAGGAUUAGAUACCCCAGUAGUC
rnacentral:rRNA from 1 species